rnacentral:rRNA from 1 species
AGAGUUUGAUUCUGGCUCAGAUUGAACGCUGGCGGCGUGCCUAACACAUGCAAGUCGAACGUGAAAGUUCCUUCGGGAGCGAGUAAAGUGGCGCACGGGUGAGUAACACGUGGAUAAUCUACCGGGAAGUUGGGGAUAACGACUGGAAACGGUCGCUAAUACCGAAUACGCGGUUCUAUUUGUUUAGGACUGGAAAGGAGGCCUCUGCAUAUGCUUCCGCUUUUCGAUGAGUCCGCGUCCCAUUAGCUAGUUGGCGGGGUAAAGGCCCACCAAGGCGACGAUGGGUAGCUGGUCUGAGAGGAUGAUCAGCCACACUGGGACUGGAACACGGCCCAGACUCCUACGGGAGGCAGCAGUGGGGAAUAUUGCGCAAUGGGCGAAAGCCUGACGCAGCGACGCCGCGUGAGGGAUGAAGGUCCUCGGAUCGUAAACCUCUGUCAGAAGGGAAGAAGUUGCACUGUGCUAAUCAGCGGUGCAUUGACGGUACCUUCAAAGGAAGCACCGGCUAACUCCGUGCCAGCAGCCGCGGUAAUACGGAGGGUGCGAGCGUUAAUCGGAAUUACUGGGCGUAAAGCGCACGUAGGCUGUAUAUCAAGUCAAGGGUGAAAUCCCCGGGCUCAACCUGGGAACUGCCUUUGAAACUGGUAAACUGGAGUAUGUGAGAGGGUGGCGGAAUUCCUGGUGUAGGAGUGAAAUCCGUAGAUAUCAGGAGGAACAUCAGUGGCGAAGGCGGCCACCUGGCACAAAACUGACGCUGAGGUGCGAAAGCGUGGGUAGCAAACAGGAUUAGAUACCCUGGUAGUCCACGCUGUAAACGAUGGGUGCUGGGUGCUGGGAUGUAUGUCUCGGUGCCGUAGCUAACGCGAUAAGCACCCCGCCUGGGGAGUACGGUCGCAAGGCUGAAACUCAAAGAAAUUGACGGGGGCCCGCACAAGCGGUGGAGUAUGUGGUUUAAUUCGAUGCAACGCGAAGAACCUUACCCAGGCUUGACAUCUAGGGAACCCUUCGGAAAUGAAGGGGUGCCCUUCGGGGAGCCCUAAGACAGGUGCUGCAUGGCUGUCGUCAGCUCGUGCCGUGAGGUGUUGGGUUAAGUCCCGCAA